CUAUACNUGCAAGUCGNGCGAGCGGAACCAACAGAUUUACUUCGGUAAUGACGUUGGGAAAGCGAGCGGCGGAUGGGUGAGUAACACGUGGGGAACCUGCCCCUAAGUCUGGGAUACCAUUUGGAAACAGGUGCUAAUACCGGAUAAUAAAGCAGAUCGCAUGAUCAGCUUUUGAAAGGCGGCGUAAGCUGUCGCUAAGGGAUGGCCCCGCGGUGCAUUAGCUAGUUGGUAAGGUAACGGCUUACCAAGGCGACGAUGCAUAGCCGAGUUGAGAGACUGAUCGGCCACAUUGGGACUGAGACACGGCCCAAACUCCUACGGGAGGCAGCAGUAGGGAAUCUUCCACAAUGGGCGCAAGCCUGAUGGAGCAACACCGCGUGAGUGAAGAAGGGUUUCGACUCGUAAAACUCUGUUGUUGAAGAAGAACGUGCAUGAGAGUAACUGUUCAUGCAGUGACGGUAUUCAACCAGAAAGUCACGGCUAACUAC
rnacentral:rRNA from 1 species